AGUGAACGCUGGCGGUAGGCCUAACACAUGCAAGUCGAACGGCAGCACAGUAAGAGCUUGCUCUUACGGGUGGCGAGUGGCGGACGGGUGAGGAAUACAUCGGAAUUUACUUUUUCGUGGGGGAUAACGUAGGGAAACUUACGCUAAUACCGCAUACGACCUACGGGUGAAAGCAGGGGAUCUUCGGACCUUGCGCGAUUGAAUGAGCCGAUGUCGGAUUAGCUAGUUGGCGGGGUAAAGGCCCACCAAGGCGACGAUCCGUAGCUGGUCUGAGAGGAUGAUCAGCCACACUGGAACUGAGACACGGUCCAGACUCCUACGGGAGGCAGCAGUGGGGAAUAUUGGACAAUGGGCGCAGGCCUGAUCCAGCCAUACCGCGUGGGUGAAGAAGGCCUUCGGGUUGUAAAGCCCUUUUGUUGGGAAAGAAAAGCAGCAGGUUAAUACCCCGCUGUUCUGACGGUACCCAAAGAAUAAGCACCGGCUAACUUCGUG
rnacentral:rRNA from 1 species